rnacentral:lncRNA from 1 species
GAGGCUCCUUCCCGGGGCAGCCUGACUCAGAAAAACCGUCUGAGAUCUUUUCCUGACUCGGCCAGGCUUGUUGCAGCUUUUCUGGGCUGUAGGGGGUCCUGCCUGGAGCUGACAGUCCUAUGCAGCUGAUCCUUUAGAGCUUGGCACCCCCUGGGGGCUUGGGCGGGUAGCAGAGCCACUGGAAAUCCAAGAGGCUCCUCCCCAGGGCAGCCCGACUCAGAAAAACCGAGAAUUAGGCAGAUCUAUUCACGGCCUGGCUAGGCUUGUUCUAGCUUUUCUGGGCUGCAGGCCUUUUCUCAGGGGCUGGUGGUGUUUGGUGCUACUCUUCGGAAGUGUAGCCCCUCCAAAGGGUAAGCAGGCCUGUGCAGGGACAGCCCCUGCGGUGGUAGGCUUCAGGCAAUUGUUGAGGCCAGCCCUCCUGGAUGGCAGGCAGCCCCAGGUUCAGGAGAGCGGGGUGGCGGGAGUCGGGGGAGGGGAUGCACUGGGAAGCACAGCUUUCAGCUAGCUAGCGGGCCUGUAAGCUUGCUGUGGCGUGGGGGGUAUUCUAUGGGGACCCACCCCUUCUUCUCUCCCCUCCCCAGCACAGGCGCAGACCAGGCUCUUUUCCCAGGUUCCCUCUGAUGCGGCUUUCCACUUCCCCGCCCCUAGAGUAUUGCUCCCUUCCUCUGCGACAGCUUUGUUUUCUAGUCUCCCAGGCAGUCUCUGCCCCAUCAAAUGGUUUCUAGACCUCCCAAGCAGUUUCCGCUCUGCCCCGCCCCGCCCCCAGCCCGUUCUCGAGGACUAACCUCUGGAGCCGAGGUCUCGGUGCCCCGCCCCCAUCCAGGCGUCCCCCGUCCCUUUUCCGGGGACUAACCUUCAGAGGCAAGGUCUCGGUGCCCAGCCCCUACCCAGGCGUCCCCCGGCCCUUUCUCGGGGUCUAACCUUCGGAGGCGAGGUCUCUCUGUCUUCUUUUCAAAUCCCUUCUGAGAUCCCUGAGUUGCAGAAUUCUGUAACUGCUAUGAUGAGAAAUGCCACUAAUUGAAGAAGCAGGACCUGUUUUAAGCUGUGAUGCCUGCCUCAGGAGGCCAGGCAUGGAGCCCUUUUGAGCCUGACUCAUCCUCCAGCUCAGGAGAUUCUGCCUCAGAGAGCAAACAUCUUGAAUGUUAUGGUGGCAGGUGGAAGGAGGGCAGUAACUAGCUGAAGCACAACGGGUAAUUUAAGAGAGGGGAGAGAAGCGAUGGGUGGUUUUGCUUGAGAUGUGGUGACCAUCCAGAGUACUACAUACAUUCCCUCUUGCUUUUUCUAUAUCCUCUUCUGGCUCUGGAGGCAGGAAGAGUUAAAAAGAAACACAAGGGAAUGUCACAAAGGCUGCUUCCUCUUCUUUUGUUUUACUUGUUUCUGCCCCUUUGUCCUUCUCUCUGCUCCUCCCCAAGAUAGAAGACUGAGUAUCUGAGUGGCAGACUCAGGUGUCCCAGGGCUACAUUCACUACUGGUCAUAGUUAGGCAGGACUGGCCAUUAGAUCUUCAUCCCAAAAAAGAACCAGGCUGUCCCUUGGACCCCAGUAUUCCAGGGAAAACCUUUAACUAAAAGACCCCUUUGUUGGCCUUGAUCUUAUUAGAUGUCUGGGGCUUACUGGCUGCAAAUCCCUGGUUUAAGAUGUAGAUGUGACCUCUGAAGUACUUGAGAACCUACUAUACCCUAGAAGAAAUGGAGGACCCUCUCUUCAUCUAAGGAAGUAUGACCAAGCAGAGGGGUGACUGCUGAAUUAAUCUGCACCACUCUGCAAAAUGUUGCUGGUGAGCCCAGAAGUUAGCCUUAGCACUGUUAGACAGAGCCUUCUUGUUGGAAGUGAAUGGUUACGCUUUAGGUGUGAUGCGUACCUACUUUUUACCAGUGUGACCCACCUGUCAUCAUUUUUCACCCAUUUUUCAUGUGGAUAACAUUAAAGGUCUCAACUUUUUGCCAUCUUACUCAUUUUUGUUAACAUCACUCCUUUGCCUUCAGGAAAGGAAAAAAAGGAAAAUGUGACUCAUAUGAUCAAAUCAUUGAUCAUAAGCUACCACUGCAGGAGCUACAGGCAUGGACUCAGCCACCUGAUUCCAGCUGUAACCACAGAGGCUUUCUGCUGGGGAGAAAAGAGCCCUGGACUUGGAGUCAGGAUACCUGCCUUCAACUCCCAGGUUUUUCAUUCACUAAAUGGUCCCUUUGACAAGUCACUUAUUUCCUUUUGGUCUUACUGACCUUAUCUGAAAAAUGGACAAAUUAGCAGUCACUGCUGCAUUGCAGGGCUACUUGGAGAUCAUGGCAGAAAGGCUAAGUAAAGCCAGUGAAAACCAAAGGCAUACCUGUUCCCACAUGCUGCAAGCCUCACUUUUGAUCCAGACCAAGCAUCCUUCAUUGAGUCUUCCUCAUAGAGUUCAUAUUGCCUUCAGCUGCUGUGGAUGCAGUCUUAAUUUUUUAAAAGUACUUUUUUCUCUUGCAGCACAUCGUAUGGGACUGGGACUCCAAUGGCAAACAUGACUUCAUUGGCGAAUACACCUCAGCAUUCAAGGAGAUGAGAGGAGUGAUGGAAGGGAAACAGGUACGUGGUAAACCACUCGUGCCAUUUCCCCAGGCUCAUCUCUCAUGACGAAUCCUUAGCACCCAGCUACACAAGAAACAGCUAAAGGCAUGACAUUAAUACAUGAUUAAAUGUGGUAAGGAGGGAGUAUGGUGGGAUCUGAAACCUAGGUUCUAGUGUUAAACCGGUCCACAGCAGUUGACACAGUUUCUCCACUGCAAAAUGAAAGAGGUCAGGUGAGAAUGCUUCUAAUUUCCUUUAGCUGUGUAGCCUUGGACAAGUGACUUAAUCUCUUUGUGCCUCUGUUUUUUGGUUUGGUUUUUUAUUUAUUUUUUUUUCAGCCGCUCCCAUGGCAUGUGGAAUUUCCCUGGGCCAGGGAUCGAACCCUCACCACAGCAGUGACCUGAGCAGCAGCAGUAACAAUGCUGAGUCUUUAACUCGCUGAGCCACCUAAAAAAUACGAAGGUGAUAGAUGUGUUUUCUGGUAGGAUUCUGUGAAGGUUAGAUGAUAUAUAAUUCAUGGUAUGCACUUGACAGGGUAUCUGGCACAGGACUCGCAUUUCCAAAGCAUGUGCUAGUGCUACUAUCUAGUAACAGUAUUGCCUCUUGCUUUUUUAUUUUUUAGACUGUGCCAGCAGCAUUCAAAAGUUUCCCAGGCCAGGGAUCGAACCUGAGCCACAGCAAUGACAAUGCCAAGUCCUUAACCGCAAGGCCAUCAGGGAACCCCUCUAGUAGCAGUAUUCUUUCCAGCUCUACAUUUCCAUGACCUGGUGGCAUUAAUGCCAUAUUUUAAGCUUUAGACAAAUUAUUUGAUUGCUCCAAAUUGGAGGGUGGGGCACCAGAUUUUCAUCUAGUCCCACUAUUUCACACUUACACGUUCUUGAUACUAAGAUACUAAGAUACAAACCCAAAAACUAUCACGUACCACUAGAGCACAUAGGGAUUUCAUUGCGACAUACAGAAACCUACACCUCCUCUGCGUGUCUCAGGUGCAGACUUUGAUGGAUAUACACAUACAUCUGUUAGCGGGGUCCCUUCUUUCUGCUCAACCACUAGCAUCAGUGUUCUUAUGUGCCUUACUGAUGUCUAGUCUUAAUUCUGCUUCAGUAUGAUUCUGCUGCUCGAGUCUUAGUAACAUUCAUCUAUUCAUUUAUUCAAUAGGGAUUUAUUGAGCCCCCUAAGGAUACAGAGAUGAGAAAAACAGUCACAGAGCUCACAAGCUGGAUCCUUUUAAUACAGUUUUAAUUUUUUAUUUUAUAUCAUUUAAUUUAAAUUUAUCAUGUAGUUGAUUUACAAUGUUGUAUUAGUUUCAGGUGUAGAGCAAAGUGAAUACAUAUGAAGAAACCCACUUUUUUCCCAUCUAGGUUAAAACCAUUACAAACUAUUGAGUAAAUUUUCCUAGGCUAUGCAAUCCUAAUGACUUUACCAGAAUAACCUCUAGCUAAUUUUUGACCCUCAUUUUUCAGACUCCAGAACCCCGUGGUGUUGUUUCCACAUACCACCUCCAGCUGGCGCACGUCUAUUGGCAGGCGUCUCAGGGCUGAUGUUUACUGGGCCCCUGAGUAGUGCCUGCUCCUGGCUUCCUUAUGACAAUGCUUUGCCUGAUAGUUAGGACACCCUACUACUGUCUGUAUACCAAGAAAAAGAGUUCAGUAACCAUGGCCUCUGAGUGUCAAACACUUGAGAUCGAAUCAGAUAUAAGCGUAGUCAUGUUAUAGAGAUAGAUUGUUGAAGUGGUUCAUCUGGAGCUUUUCUCAGUGAUGGUCAUAAGACUGUUCUGGAUGUACCAGUAUUUGGUCUGUAUCGGUAAGAUGACCAGAGACAGCUGCUUUUGAAAGAAGAGUUUAUCAGAGUUCCCAUCGUGGCUCAGCGGAAACAAAUCUGACUCGUAUCCAUGAGGACGCAGGUUCGAUCCCUGGCCUCGCUCCCAUGGGUUAAGGAUCUGGUGUUGCCAUGAGCUGCAGUGUAGGUCGCAAAUGUGGCUUGGAUCUGGCAUGGCUGUGGCGUAGACCAGUGGCUACAGCUCUGAUUCGACCCCUAGCCUGGGAACCUCCAUGUGCCAUGGGUGCAGCCCUAAAAAGAUAGAAAAAAAAAAAAAAAAAAAAAAAAAA